UGUAAACUGCGGGUCGGCUUUGAUCGGAGGCUGGUGUAAACUGCGGGUCGGCUUAGCGCAAGUGCAGCGGCUGAAUGGACCUUGCGUGACGCGCGCUGUCGUGGGAUGGCGGCUCUGACGGAGAACGUCCAUGGGCUGAGGCGCGUACGAUAGUCGUCCCACACGACUGAACCGGUGAACGACGGACACCUGCUGCCACCGAGGACAGACCACAGGCCUCCGGCCGGUUCAGAGGAGUGACCACAUGCCUCCGGCCGGUUCAGAGGACUGACCACAGGCCUGUAGACAGCUCAGAGAACUGACCACAGGUGCACCGGAGUUCUCGGUGGUGUGGGUCACUCGGCCGGGGGUGACCAGGUCUGGCCUCAGGACGCCCGUGUCGGGACCGACAGCUGACGUCAGGUGCCAGGCAUCUAGAAUCCCGACGAAGACAGGAAGUUUGAAGAGUGUGCUGCCUUCAGCGCUUGCAAUGUAUGGACGGGCUUAAUCUGUGAUGCGCACAGACUGAGCUUAUGAAAGAGCUCAAACUCCAAAAUCCAGGCUCUCAAAUGCAGACGUGAAGACCUCGGACUUUUUUCAGUGCUCUAGUGAAUAAACGUGUUCGAACAGCUGGAUCCAGUCUUGCAGAAAACAACAAGAUUAGCCCACCUAUCGCAUACAGACGAAUCUUCAAACAGAGGUGCCCGAACUCAGAGCAGCGGCGGCUACUCCAGCCAGAACCCGUCCCAGCGACGCCGUGCGGCGCUAUGUUGUCGAGUCUGCCGCCGCCGCGUCACCGCAGCGCCGGCGCCCGCCGUCGCCCGCGUGUCUGCUGACCGCCCGCCAUGGCCAAGAUCCUGAAGCAGCUGUCGACGAUGCACGGCCGGCUGUUCGCGGCCGACCCGCCCGAGAAGUCGCGGCCGCCCGAGCUCUUCAUCGACGCCGACGCGCUGGACGUGUACGCGCUGCGCCGCUGCCACUCGGAGCUGAGUCCGCUCUACCUGACGCGGCUAUCGCUCUCGACGGAUGAUCUGGACGCGGCCACGCUGCCGCCGGCGCGCAGC